rnacentral:rRNA from 2 species
UACGAAGGGGGCUAGCGUUGCUCGGAAUUACUGGGCGUAAAGGGCGCGUAGGCGGAUGUUUAAGUUGGGGGUGAAAGCCCGGGGCUCAACCUCGGAAUAGCCUUCAAUACUGGGCAUCUUGAGUACGGGAGAGGUGAGUGGAACUCCGAGUGUAGAGGUGAAAUUCGUAGAUAUUCGGAAGAACACCAGUGGCGAAGGCGACUCACUGGCCCGUUACUGACGCUGAGGCGCGAAAGCGUGGGGAGCAAACAGG